rnacentral:rRNA from 1 species
GAAUUCGCCCUUAGAGUUUGAUCCUGGCUCAGGACGAACGCUGGCGGCGCGCCUAACACAUGCAAGUCGAACGAGAGAUGAGGAGCUUGCUCUUCAAAUCGAGUGGCGAACGGGUGAGUAACGCGUGAGGAACCUGCCUCAAAGAGGGGGACAACAGUUGGAAACGACUGCUAAUACCGCAUAAGCCCACGGCUCGGCAUCGAGCAGAGGGAAAAGGAGCAAUCCGCUUUGAGAUGGCCUCGCGUCCGAUUAGCUAGUUGGUGAGGUAACGGCCCACCAAGGCGACGAUCGGUAGCCGGACUGAGAGGUUGAACGGCCACAUUGGGACUGAGACACGGCCCAGACUCCUACGGGAGGCAGCAGUGGGGAAUAUUGCACAAUGGGGGAAACCCUGAUGCAGCGACGCCGCGUGGAGGAAGAAGGUCUUCGGAUUGUAAACUCCUGUUGUUGAGGAAGAUAAUGACGGUACUCAACAAGGAAGUGACGGCUAACUACGUGCCAGCAGCCGCGGUAAAACGUAGGUCACAAGCGUUGUCCGGAAUUACUGGGUGUAAAGGGAGCGCAGGCGGGAGAACAAGUUGGAAGUGAAAUCCAUGGGCUCAACCCAUGAACUGCUUUCAAAACUGUUUUUCUUGAGUAGUGCAGAGGUAGGCGGAAUUCCCGGUGUAGCGGUGGAAUGCGUAGAUAUCGGGAGGAACACCAGUGGCGAAGGCGGCCUACUGGGCACCAACUGACGCUGAGGCUCGAAAGUGUGGGUAGCAAACAGGAUUAGAUACCCUGGUAGUCCACACCGUAAACGAUGAUUACUAGGUGUUGGAGGAUUGACCCCUUCAGUGCCGCAGUUAACACAAUAAGUAAUCCACCUGGGGAGUACGACCGCAAGGUUGAAACUCAAAGGAAUUGACGGGGGCCCGCACAAGCAGUGGAGUAUGUGGUUUAAUUCGACGCAACGCGAAGAACCUUACCAAGUCUUGACAUCCCUUGACGAUGCCGGAAACAGUAUUUCUCUUCGGAGCAAGGAGACAGGUGGUGCAUGGUUGUCGUCAGCUCGUGUCGUGAGAUGUUGGGUUAAGUCCCGCAACGAGCGCAACCCUUAUGGUCAGUUACUACGCAAGAGGACUCUGGCCAGACUGCCGUUGACAAAACGGAGGAAGGUGGGGAUGACGUCAAAUCAUCAUGCCCUUUAUGACUUGGGCUACACACGUACUACAAUGGCGUUAAACAAAGAGAAGCAAGACCGCGAGGUGGAGCAAAACUCAGAAACAACGUCCCAGUUCGGACUGCAGGCUGCAACUCGCCUGCACGAAGUCGGAAUUGCUAGUAAUCGUGGAUCAGCAUGCCACGGUGAAUACGUUCCCGGGCCUUGCACUCACCGCCCGUCA